rnacentral:lncRNA from 1 species
AAGCCUGUAAGAAAUCCUAAUGGAAAAUUAAUUCCUUUAUUCCCUAGACAUGAACUGGAAUUUUUUGAGAGGAAGAAUAACUCAGGACACUUAUUUGUGUCCCUGGAGGCCUACACGGACAUUUUCAAUCUCUCCUCUGGAGUCACUGCCUCCUUCAUUGAUGUGCAAGGAUACAUCCCUGGGACUCCGGUUAGAUUCACACUUUCACAGAAGACAUUUGCAAGCUAAAAAUCCCACAAAAAUCAUGAAGUGGGGAGGAGCUCAUGAGGCCACCACCAUUCUGUAAGACAAUUCAUAUUUGCUGAAGGUUGGAGAGACGUUUUCUUCAGUGGUGUAGCCCCUGGAAAGAUGCCAUAUUCUUGUAAGUAACCCCCCAGCUGUGCUCCUGUAAGCAACCCUGAUUAAACUAAUUGAAUCACCAGAAAGAGAAAGAGAGAGAGAGGGAGGAAAGGGUCUAGCUGGGAAGACAGAGAUUAGCAGAAGAGGAGGUAGUGGGGGUGAAUGUGAUCAAAACACCAUUUAAUUUGUGGAAUGUGGUUGCCACACUUUAAUCUUAACAGUCCCAAGGCAAAUGCAGAUAGAUCUCUGUGAGUGUAGGCCAGCCUGGUCUACAUAGUGAAUUCCAGGCUCUCAGGGACUACCCAGUGAGACCCUGUAUCAGAGAAAACACACCAAGUAACUUAGAAAAUAGUCGGGUGUUGGUGGUGCAUGCCUUUAUUCCAGAGGCUCCAAAGCUACACAGAGAAACCCUGUUUCGAAAAACCAAAAAAAAAGAAAGAAAAAAGAAAAUGUUUCAUAGGCAACCUCACUGUUCUGAUGUAUAAAGUGAGCUGUUAAGCUUCGAUGUGAAAGACCUGAAGUUGUGUCAGUUGCUAUAUGAGCUGUGCACUGCCACAUGUACCCAAAGCAGAUGGAUGACAUUGGUGAUGGUUUGGCUCAGAGUCUGUGUCACUUCCUUUGCAGGGUAACCAGGCACCUCUGUGAUCCAG